rnacentral:rRNA from 1 species
UCAGAUUGAACGCUGGCGGCAUGCCUUACACAUGCAAGUCGAACGGCAGCACGGGAGCAAUCCUGGUGGCGAGUGGCGAACGGGUGAGUAAUACAUCGGAACGUGCCCAAUCGUGGGGGAUAACGCAGCGAAAGCUGUGCUAAUACCGCAUAAGGAUCUACGGAUGAAAGCAGGGGAUCGCAAGACCUUGCGCGAAUGGAGCGGCCGAUGGCAGAUUAGGUAGUUGGUGAGGUAAAGGCUCACCAAGCCUUCGAUCUGUAGCUGGUCUGGAGAGGACGACCAGCCACACUGGACUGAGACA